UGGCCAGAGAGAACAAUGGAGAAGAAACACUCUAGUGAGUAAAGUGGACUGUGCUGGAAAAUACUGCAGAACGGAGCACCUUCCCCUUCCCAGAGGAAGAGUGGGCAACAGUCAGAGACAUCAUUGUGCCUGCCUACAUUUUAGAUGACUUUUAUAUUGUUUCUAAAAUCUCUAGAAAUGUCAGGUUCCUCUCAAGGAUGUUCCAGGUGACUGACCAACUCAUUUGGAUUAACUCUUACGGGAGGGAGCAAGGAGCACCUAUCCAGCUUCAGAAAUUGAGUGCACAAACGAGAACAUGCUUAUUAUAUUCAAUAAAAUACAGAACUGAGAUGCCAAAGGGGACAAUACUCACAACGAACACGUUGGUCUGGGAACAAUUGCUCCUGAUGCAGAAUCUUUCCAUUCCAUGGGAUCUCAGUUAACUGCCUGCUAUGAUUUUGUCAUUGAAGCUAACUGAACAACUCACAGCUCUGAAAAGUAAAUGGAGACCUUGGCUGUGUUUGAACUUUAUUAUUUUAGUUGAGAUAAACCAGAAGUGACCAAUUCUCAAGCUAUUUCAUUGAGCAACUGUACCAAAACUCAUCUGAAUCAAAACAUGAGGCAAAGAAGGAAACCAGAAAUAAGUAGCCAGAGAAACACCAGCAAGAGCAUACCCAGAUGUUAUGAAGGAAACAUCAGGAUGGAAAAUAGAAUCAAUUUCGCAUACUCAUAAAAUGGUCAUUGAACUGCCUGGUUAAUAGUUGGUCAAGAUUUUCCAGAAACUUAAUAUGAAGACAACUACUCUGCCAAGAUAAUUAGUGUUCUGAUUUUAUAAGAGAAAAACAAAAACCUUGAGCACAAUAAGGUAAAACUUUAAAA